ensembl:lncRNA
UUUUGUUUACUCCGUUGUCUGCUGAUGCAUGGAGCACAUUUUGGCACCAGUCUGGGCUGCAUGUGAAGUCUGUAGACAUAGAGAGGCUCCUCACCUCUUGGUGGAGAGACCUGUGGCAAACUUUGUGUUUAGGAGGAUUAUCAGGGCAGGCCUGGGAUGGUCCUAUGAGGUGAAUUGGAGCGUUUCUUCUACAGAUAGGAGGGAAAUAGGACUGCCAGGGCCGUCCAGGGGACUGUGACCAAAGCACCGCUGGCCUAUGAUUCUGUGUCUCUCUCUUCUCUCCUGGCUCUGACCCUCAGAGCAGCUCCCCCUGGGGGUCGGAGGCCGGUGGCGGUUCCAGCCUCGUCUGUUUCCUCUGGCAGCUGUGUGGAACAUCAGCUGACCAGGCUCUUUCCUGGAAUGUGUUGCAAGCCUAGCAUUUCCUCUUGCACGUCAGCUGCCAGCCCAGUGCUGAUGAACCAAUGACUCGGUUUCCCUGUUGCGAUGGCUGUGUCUCAUAGAGGCCCAUUGCCGCAACCUGCAGGCUGUGGGACGUGGCCUGGGCACCUGUGAGCCCAUCCACUUCAGCUGUGUUCAGUGGGACUGGGAGGGGAGGCUGCCGGAGGCCGCAGGGUGCUGUGGCCCGCAGGGGCCAAGGGCAAAGCAAUCAGUGAGGCCAGGGAGAGCUGGGCUGGGACCCUGAGCCCCUCCAAUCGCUCCCAGUGGCCUCUCCCACCCCGCAAGCCCUGCAGUGCCCCUCCUGGGCGUCCAGCUGCCGCCCUCCCCACUCCCCGGUCUUGCUGGUUCUCAAGACGGGGAGAAGAGAGCAAAGUCAGGAUGCGGAAAUGGAGUGGCUGGGGCACCCAGGACUGGUCAAGGUGGGACACAAAUACUGACUGCCAUUUAGAGAAGAAUAUGUGCAAUAUACACAAGUUUGAACGCAUGCACAUACACACACACAUGUGGCCACGUGUUCACACAUGCACUUCUAUGCACACAGACUUGCAUACGCAUGUGCACAUGCAUGUGCGCGUGCACACACACACAGACACACACACACUCAUCUGGUUUCCCAAAAGGUCUCUUCAGGAGCGAGUUCCUCGGGCUGGGAGACAGCUGGCGGUGUUGAGACUGAAGUCUGCUUCUGCUCACAGGGAGGUGGGCAGGACCCGUGGUGCCCUGUGAGCACAGAGGGCGUGGGCCCGUCUGCAGCUCUGCGGCUCACUGCGACUCUGGGUGAGCCCUGCAGUCCAGAGCAACACACAGCGGGUGUGCAAGACACAUUCGUGCACAUUGGCCCUAUUUCAUAGCCAUGCUACUCUCUGAAAGUUUUGAAGCAACUUAGAAUAAUAAUGAACAAAGCCAGGCUUGGUGCCUACUACUAAGCCUAUAAUUUGAGCACUCUGGGAGGCUGAGUCAAGAGGACCACAAGUUCUAGCCCAGUCUGAGAAACUUAGCAAGAUCCUGUCUCCAAAAUAAAAAGGGGUGGGGAUGUACAGAUGUAGCUCAGGUAAAGGCCCUGGGCUCACUCUGCAGUACUGAAAAGAAAAUUAAACAAAACAACAAAAAGGUGCAUCAGUGAUAUGAGAGGAACACAACGAUGAUGGACAUAUAAAGUUAAAAGGUGAAAUCAGCACUUGAACUCUGAUGUGGCCAGGGAGAUCGCAUUUCACCCUGGAGAGAUGAAGCCCUCCAUGCUGGUGAGGGAGAUACUGCCCUGGGCCUGACCCCGAGGACACACUGGGCAGAGCCGGGUGGCCUCGGCCUCCCUCAGGGGCAGACAAGGGCCCACAGGACAGCUUCAGGGACAGCAGCACCUAAGUUUGACCCUGGUAAGCUCAGGACUGCCCUUCUGGAGCACCCAGGUUAUCUUUGAUUCUUUUCAUCCUAACAAACGAGCAGGACACAGGGGAGGCAGAGGGAGGACAGUGCACUGUGAACAGCCUUACACCGGGCUGCCUGGGCUCGAAUUCGGCCCCAUCAGAAUUGCUCUGCCAGUGCACAGUUACUUAGUUUCUGCACUUCAGUUUCCUAACUGGUAGAAGUGUGUCAGCAUGCUAGCCUCAGGGUUCUCUGAGGAUGAAUCGCGUUGGGAGGCAUGUGUAGUGUGGAGCGGCACUUGGCAUGCAGGGAGGACUGGCGAGCAGUGGCUGUCGGGAGGGCGUGGGCCCCCGAGUGUGCAGUUCUUGUGGUGCUGGGCUCUGCACUUUCCAGCCUGUGGCCCUCAGGAAGGUGUCCCCUCUCCCCUCUCCCCUCAGGAUUUGGGGCGGUGACUCACUCAGCCAGGGCAGAAUUUCCACAAGUGCAGCCGGGGUCCUGUGAUCAGGGUUGAGCAAGGUGUGUGUGUGCGUGCAUGUGGGUGUGUGUGCAUGUGUGUUUCUUGUGCCUUUUAUUGCUUUGCUUGAGGAAGGCAGAUUCUUGGUGGCAUCCAAUCACAACCUCACUUUACAGCUGUGUGAUGCUGACAGGCACAUGUCGCCCACCUUAUCUGUGUGACCUAGAAGCUUGAACCACAUUCAGUUGGGGUUGAGGCGGAAAGCGAAGCAGUGGGUCCUCCACAGCAGGUGGGCAGCUGAGCUCGGGAAGGACAUCAGACACCAGACUGCAGUCUCUGGUCCGAGGUUCACAGUGCCACUCCUGACUGGGCUGCCUCCUGGGGACUGGGAAAAUCAUGGGCACCACAGGCCCUCAGGGCCCACCUAGCAGAGUCCCUGGGGUCUUCCAUGCACGCAAGGUGCUGGCCACCUUCAGGGGCUGUCGUGUGACGACCCAAGUGAGAGCUGGAGGGCGGAGAUGGCUGAAAUCUGAUCUAGAGAGCACCUCUGUCCAUGCAGCAGAGCCCAGCCUCCUGCUGACCCCGCCGGUCUGAUGGCUGGAGCAUGUGCUCCUUCUUCCAGGAGGGUGUGCAGCUGACUUUGGAAGACCGUGCUCUCGGCCUGGAGCCCGUGGUGCAGUGUCUGCCCUGGGCACGAAGAGGAAGGAGGAGAGUUCUCAGGGCUGAGGCCUGAGCUGAGCUGAGUGGGGAGUGGAGGAGGAAUGGGUGGAAAUGGGAGUGGCCCAAAGCACCGGAUCAGCACUGGGAGGGUUUGGCUGGAGUGAGGACAGCUGGGGGCCCCACACGAGCAGCUUUGACUUAAUUCUCUUGGAGGACAGGCCAAGGACUCGCCUCUGACCCUAUCCAUGGGCGCCUUUCACAGGCAGUGUCAGGGGCCAGGGCAGGGUGAGGGUCUGCAGCCGUGUGUGCAAAUGGGAGUGCAUGACACCCAGUGUGCAGGGCAACCAUGUCCUGAGCACCUUUUGCCCUUGCUGGUUCACGGCUCUCAGUCUUCCUGGCCCUGAGCAGGUGAUCUAGGGUUUACAUACGCUUGGAUUUUACAAGUCUACUCACAUCACACUGUGCCAUCUUGUCAGAAGGAGAAACUGAGGCAAAAGAUCCUGAAGAACCUGCGGGGAGGAGCUGCCCUCCAAUCUGAAACAAGACGCAGGGAACAGACUGCCCAGGCUCCUUUGUUCAGCAGUCUGCACCUGCAUUUGGUUCUUUCCCUCCAUAUCUUGGAAAGAGGGGAGAGAGAAGUUCUUUGGGCAACGGCCAUCUGGAGCACUUCUCACUGGGCACAGGUUUGGGGGGGGAUGGCAGGAGGCUGUUGCCCCAAUAUUCCUUAGACUGUGGGUGAAUGGAGAGCUAGAAGUAUGGAGAUUCAGCAGGUUAGGAUUGAUGUAGGGGCCGGGUGGCUCCAGCACUCUUGGAGCUCAAAGCAGGAAGAUCAUCAGUUCAAGGCCAGCCUGGGUAAUUUAGCAAUUUAGGAAGGCUCAGUCUCAAAAUAAAAAGAGGGCUGGGGAUGUAGCUCAGGGUGAAGGCCCCGGGUUCCACCCCCACUACCAAAACAACGGAAACAAAGGAAGAGAAGAAGGAAAAGAGAGCAUGAAGAGAGAGACAGAGAGACGGAGACAGAAAGAUGGAGACAGAGGGGAGAGAGAGAGACAGUGUGGUCCCCUCUUAACCCCUAGCUGUGUGGGAAAGAGACAGGAGGAGGAAGACUGCACAGGAGACAGGAGGGCGUGGCCUGAGCUGGAGCAGAGGGGCCGCUGGUGGCCUGGCGCUGAAACCCUACUGCUAAGCCGGGCCCUUCCACAGCCCUGCUGUGAGGGUGAGGAAGAGCACUGGCUGCGGUUGGUCCAGGACCCUCGGGGGAGCGCUUGUCCGCCCGCCCAUUACCCCGGCCCUGGGAGCCUCCUCUCUCCCCUGCCCAGAAGCUCUCUUGCUCUCUCUGUCCCCGGGCUUUGAGAAGGGCAGGGCGCCCCGCCCAGGAGGGGAAGUGAACAGCAGCCUCCGCCCUGGGUUCCCAGUGAGCGUGUGAGCGUGUGAACGUGUGUGAGUGUGUGUGUGUGUGUGUGUAGGCUCACGCAGAUCAGACACAGAGCGCAGAGUGGAGAGCUUCCCGGACCUUCACAGAGAGCUUGGCCCUUGAAGCUUGUCACAGCCGGCCCAGCUGAGCAGAGGCGCAGGAGCAGCCUGGGGUGUCCCCACAGCCAGAUCACAGAAGCUCGGGGGACACUCGGACCUUCAGGAGGCAGGAGGUGAUGCCUGGAAUGGAAGUUUCACUUGUCCGGCAGCCCAACCCCUCAUGUGGCGCAUUCUGGGGAGCAGAGGUGAUGCUGGGCUAUGGCUUCACAUCUCCAUGGACCCUCUGAGGCUGGUGGGACCCCUCGCUACCUACAGCCUGGGCUGGUGUUCCCCGAGGUCUUCUUUUUCUCACAAAAGAAGCCAGGAUAGGGCCUGGGAUUUAGCUCAGUGGUUCUGGCACCUGCCUCACAAGCGCAAGGUCCCGAGUUCGAUCCCUGGUAUCAAAGAAAGAAGCCGGCUUAGCUCACCUCCCUGCAUGUCUGUCCCCACGGCACGUGCUGUUCCUCUGGCGGCUGGAGUUACCUGGGGACUGGGGCUCACGCUUUCCAGGGUCUCAUAGUAGCAGGGGUCUGGCAGUAUGGCUGGAGCAGUCGGAUGUGAUGGCCGAGUGAGGAGACUCACUAACCACAGAUGGAGAAUGGCAGCACCCAAGCCUGACUCGGGACCAAGCUGAACCCUGUACCCAGCACCAGUGAGAACAUGAAGAACCUGGCACGUGAUAUCAGUCUUCUAGCACGAGGCCAGUGUGACCUCCGGGGUCAGCUGUGGAGACACAGAAGGGCGGCAGUGACUGAGCUGUGGCCACCGACCUCUUGCUCUUGCAGCAUCUGUUCUGUGUGCAGGACACACCCGCUCUUUUCCUUCAGAGCACCUUUUCUCCCUGAGCACUUCUGUGCUUCUCCCUUUAUUCCUGCCC